rnacentral:lncRNA from 1 species
AAAUCGAUUUGGCGUUAGGGUUCUAAGAGUAUCAAUAUGGGGAUUUUGUAAGCUUGUUCUGUUUUUUAAACGACGGCGUAUAAGGUUCCGUGAACAGUUAACAGAGAUUUGACAGUUAAAACUAGUUGACCAAAAGUAUAUCUGUUAUGGCUCGGUGAACAUAAGUUUGUGUUUAUUUUGUAUAAUGAGAAGUCUGUAUUUUUUUGGCGAAUUUGAAAAAGUUUAGUAUUUAAUCGACUGUUUUCUCAUAGAACAAGUUCUAAAAGACCUCUUUACCAAUCACUUGUUUUUUUUUUGCUUUUCUCCUCCUAUCCAAACUUCCUCCGUCAUUUUGCUUGUGUCCAGCCAGCGUCCGAUGGCUCUUGAGCCUCGGCGUUGUGCCCCUCUUUUCCCUUCUUAGUUGGUGUGCUUUACGGAUGUGAGAUUCAAUUUUUAAAGAUGGUUUGGGGUUGAAUUUCUGACAAAAUCUCUUCUUUCCUUUUCCCAGAAAUUCCAGAUCUGGUUAUAUGAUUCACUUCCUUUUGAAAGAUGUUUGAGGGAUUCGCUUUUCGGUGGCUCUCCAGAGGUGUUUUACCUCGACCAUGGGUUUCUUCUUGGUUAGUUCACAUGCAGAUCACCACCGUGUUUCUCAGAUCUGCUCUAACCGGUACAGAUUUCAAGAAGAUGUGGAUUCGUCGUUUUUCAAGCCUUCCUUGUUGUGGUUUAACCGUCUAUAAUACUUAGCAGAAGAUCAUUCGUGUGCCCAGUGAAGCUUGCCUAAUAAUGUCUAAGACACUUCAGGUAAACCGGUUUUGGGUUGUUGGAGGGAACUCAUGGCUUCGACAGCUGAAUGAAAUUUUGUGAGGGUUAAAUGAGAAGUUUGAUUACAACCAGGUCUUUUAUUUAUGUUGUUUAUUAAGUGUGGUUGAUCCGAGUGUUUCCCACAGUCCGACCAUGUUCUGUUUAAUCUCUGUUUUAUGAUUUACUAUGAGUAUGCCCGCAUUCGUACGGAAUAUUAUUUUAUUGUGGUUAAGUAUAUAAUUUUUUGAUGAUGUAAUUAUUUUAUCAUCUUUAUUUGUUAAGAGCACUAUUUGUGUUUUAUUGUGUUAUGUAGUAGCAGGUGAUAUGUGAAUAUAUUAUGUGUUUGUCUUUUCAAUAAUGUGUUGUUGUGUGUAUAGUAAUACUCGUUAGUGGUGAAGUGGACCUCUGAUGUAAAACAUAUUGAAUUUCAAUAAUUU